rnacentral:tRNA from 5 species
GGAGGGGUGGCCGAGUGGCUUAAGGCGCACGCUUGGAAAGCGUGUUUACCGAAAGGUAACGCGGGUUCGAAUCCCGCUCCCUCCGCCA